rnacentral:rRNA from 1 species
UACAGAGGGGGCCAGCGUUAUUCGGAAUUAUUGGGCGUAAAGGGCGCGUAGGCGGCCACGCGUGUCUUCCGUGAAAUCCCUCGGCUCAACCGAGGACGUGCGGAAGAAACUGCGAGGCUCGAGUCCAGAAGAGGGGGGCGGAAUUCCCAGUGUAGCGGUGAAAUGCGUAGAUAUUGGGAGGAACACCGGCGGCGAAGGCGGCCCCCUGGGCUGGUACUGACGCUGAUGCGCGAAAGCGUGGGUAGCAAACGGG